CCAGGAUGAACGCUAGCGACAGGCCUAACACAUGCAAGUCGAGGGGCAGCACAAGGAGCAAUCUGAGGUGGCGACCGGCGCACGGGUGAGUAACACGUAUGCAACCUGCCUGUAAGCGGGGAAUAACCCGUUGAAAGACGGACUAAUACCGCAUAAUACUAAAUUACUGCAUGGUAAUUUAUUUAAACAUUUAUGGCUUACAGAUGGGCAUGCGCAUGAUUAGCUAGUUGGAGAGGUAACGGCUCCCCAAGGCAACGAUCAUUAGGGGUUCUGAGAGGAAGGUCCCCACACUGGUACUGAGACACGGACCAGACUCCUACGGGAGGCAGCAGUGAGGAAUAUUGGUCAAUGGACGAGAGUCUGAACCAGCCAAGUCGCGUGCAGGAAGAAUGUCCUUAAUGGAUUGUAAACUGCUUUUGCAGGGGAAUAAAGUGCAUCACGUGUGAUGUUUUGUAUGUACUCUGCGAAUAAGGACCGGCUAACUCCGUGCCAGCAGCUGC
rnacentral:rRNA from 1 species